rnacentral:rRNA from 1 species
AACGAACGCUGGCGGCAGGCCUAACACAUGCAAGUCGAGCGCGCCCUUCGGGGUGAGCGGCGGACGGGUGAGUAACGCGUGGGAACGUGCCCUUUUCUACGGAAUAGCCUCGGGAAACUGAGAGUAAUACCGUAUACGCCCUUUGGGGGAAAGAUUUAUCGGAAAAGGAUCGGCCCGCGUUGGAUUAGGUAGUUGGUGGGGUAAUGGCCUACCAAGCCGACGAUCCAUAGCUGGUUUGAGAGGAUGAUCAGCCACACUGGGACUGAGACACGGCCCAGACUCCUACGGGAGGCAGCAGUGGGGAUUCUUAGACAAUGGGGGCAACCCUGAUCUAGCCAUGCCGCGUGAGUGAUGAAGGCCUUAGGGUUGUAAAGCUCUUUCAGCUGGGAAGAUAAUGACGGUACCAGCAGAAGAAGCCCCGGCUAACUCCGUG